GGCCAGCAUCAGUUUUGGUGGUAGCAUAAACCCUUUGGAAUGUGGCUUUCUCUUCGGAGGAAGUUAUACCUUAGGUNAUACUGCCNACCGGGAUUGAGGACUGCGCUUCGGCCAAGGAUGCUGGCAUAAU
rnacentral:rRNA from 1 species